GACGAACGCUGGCGGCGUGCUUAACACAUGCAAGUCGAACGGUGAAGCGCUUUCCUUUUUGGUUGGUGUGGAUGAGUGGCGAACGGGUGAGUAACACGUGUGUAACCUGCCCCCUUCUUCUGGAUAACCGCAUGAAAGUGUGGCUAAUACGGGAUAUUCUGCGCCUGCUGCAUGGUGGGUGUGGGAAAGAUUGUGCCUUUGGGUGUUUUCGGUGGGGGAUGGGCUCGCGGCCUAUCAGCUUGUUGGUGGGGUGAUGGCCUACCAAGGCGGUGACGGGUAGCCGGCCUGAGAGGGUGGACGGUCACACUGGGACUGAGACACGGCCCAGACUCCUACGGGAGGCAGCAGUGGGGAAUAGUGCACAAUGGGAGCAAGCCUGAUGCAGCGACGCCGCGUGAGGGAGGGAGGCCUUCGGGUUGUGAACCUCUUUCGCCAGUGAAGCAGGCCUGCUCCUUGUGGGUGGGUUGACGGUAGCUGGAUAAGAAGCGCCGGCUAACUACGUG
rnacentral:rRNA from 1 species